CUAAUGUCAUUCUGCGAGUUGUGUAAACCGAAAGCGGAUAGCUGUAGCGAGGGAUACGAGAACGGCUUUCACCAACCUUCAACACUGACGACAGCAUGGCAGCGGCGGCCGUUCCUGCCGACGGGUCUUGCAGCCAGGAAAACGACAAAAAGGCACGGAAACUUCAAGAGUUGUUCCGAGGUCGCUUCAGUGAGAAGGAGGCUAUGGCCGUCAUCCUCGACAAGAAGGGAGACAUCACCGCUGCAGUCGACUUCAUCAUGAAAGGGCCUCCAGAGCAGAUUCGGAAGUUUAUACAUGACAGAGAUCAGACACUUGUGCAAGAACUACAGAGAGACUCUACCAUCAUCAACAAGCACCUGCGGAGUGGCCUCCCCUACACAGUCCGCCAGUUUGGGUGUGGUCCGUGCGACAAUUUCUGGUGGCAGAAAGUGCCGUCGAGGAAGGAGGUGAGCUCAUGCAAGAAGUGUAAAGUCAAAUACGACCCAGUCCCAAGGGGCCAUGAGUGGGGAUGGGCGGAGUUCAAAUGUCCCUGCGGGAACGAAUUCGGUGGGUUCGGCCAAAUGGGCGAGACUGGCAGUCCCUGCUUCAAGUGUCAAAGGAUGAGUUUUCCUCUCAAAAUUCAGCCCCCUCGUAAAAGCAACCGACAACGUCGCUCCACCGACCACGCGUGCAACGGGGCCAACUGUUAUAACGCCGGAAUGUUGGGAAGAGGGGGCUUCGGAGGAGGGGGUCGAGGACGGGGAUGGGGAGGGGGAGGCAGGGGCAGAGGUAACCGCAACCCUCAAUGCUGUCAUCCCCGUUCAAUACGAGCCUCGGGGGGUAAGGUUGUGUUGUACCCAAGCCAGCCGCACAGAAGCACAGGCUCCACAGUCGCAACCUUCUUAACGCAGGACGAUCUCGUCUCGCACGCCGGGACAUUCGUCUCAAGUCUCGUUGAUUUGCGAGAAGAUGACGAAGAGGCUUUAGCCGGAAGUGAUCACGAAGACAGCGAUGGCGGCCCAGCGGACGAUGGCCAGUGACCAGUGACAAAACUUAUACUGAGAUAGGUCUGUCUGAAUUAAUUCCAACUAGAACGAAAGACCAGUUCCCGAGACUGUCUUCAUUAAAAUGCAGAAUAGGAUGUAUGAAAAUUUGUUCUGGUAAACAAUAUUCAAUUCUUGAUAUUACAUUGCAUCAUAUUUCAGUUAUGUGGUGAAUGUUCAUAGCUUACAAAGUGAAAUUGUUAUCAUUGGCUUACAGUGAUGGGUAAAUAUGUACACAUUCACGAUAGCUCAAAACAAACGAGUCCCGGUCGAGAUCUUGGAGACGUCCGUUUGUUCGUUACAGAUUAAAUAUAACUGACAACGCCCUUUCCAUAUUGAUAAAAACAUCUCGGUUAAUAACAGAGUCGACUGUACGAUUCAGUCUAUAUCAUGAGCAUGUGUCUAGGAAUCACUAUCAAAUAGUGAUGAUACCAGGUAAGCGUAUCCUGCCCCACCGCUGCCACACCUGAAAAUAACGUCUCCCAAAUUGCGACCUUGAUGCGCAAAUGUCUCUCUCCAUUCGCGGUCGAGGAAAAGUUAUUUUUGAACACGUUUUAAUAUUGCAUAAUGUGCCAUAAAUAUGAGUGAUACUGGUUACAAGGUAAUACUGCCUUAUAUGGAAUGCUGAUUAUAUAACUUCCCGAAGUUGUCAAAUGUGUGUUAUUUUAAUUGCACGUAUUCAUCAGUUGACUCAAGCAGACAAUAAACCCACGCGACCCAUAACAGAAUUUGUCGCCAGGAACGUGUUACAAAAUACAUGUAACGUCAGCCGUUUUCAUUUUAUUUUCCUGUUCGCUUGGGUAGAUAGAUUAAAUAUAAACAUCAUAAUCCAACACAUAAUCUAUAUGUGCGUAUUGCUAAAGGUUGAGUGACUUCAAAGGUUUUGACGGCAUGUUACACUAUCACAAACUACCAAGUUUUUGAUAAAAGUUUGUGAUAGUGUAACGGGGGUAAUAGGUCAGUGAAAGCAAAAUGACGUCAUACUACUGUAUUGUUGCGAACACUAGACAUGACCUCACACAACAAUAGGUUGACACUGACUUUUCUAUAUAUGUUGACAUAUCAUUCAUAAUUGUAGAUAUUCUUUCCUGAAACGACAUUGGGUUAUAUGUAGAAUAACCUAACCCAACUCGGAAUUAUUGAUGUGUGCCGAGUGAUUGUCCUGAUUGGCGUGUUUUUUUAAUUCUCAAUUCUUCACCUUGGGUCCCGUAUCAGGAAGUCCUGUCACUUCAGCGACUUUUGCAUCACCCUUGCUUUAACAUAGACUUAAGGUAGUAUUAGCUUCGUGAUUUUCUAUUGUAUGACUGUUGUUCUGGGAUGAAUAUAAUGAAAGCAUAUAAGUGUAUAGUUGAUGACUCGUACAAAAUGAUGACGAUGAGGUGAGGUGAAAUGGGGUUUAACGUCGCGUCCAAGAUUAUUGCACUUAUAUAGCGACGGUCUUUUGGUAUGACGCGGUCGGGGAUCGAACCCCAGACCUUCCGCUCUCCGCACUGUUGUGCCUCUGAUGAUUGUGUGCUUGUGAUCAUUUGAUAUAAUUCAGCUGUGAUAAACCAGUCGUGUGUAGGCAGAGUUCUGACCAGGAAGUGUUUUACGUGUCAGUCUAAGUCUUUUUUUGUCACCACAUAUCUUUGUAAUGUUUACCUUCAUUUUGAAAGACAUGUAGCGUGAAAUCAUAUAGAUAGGUAACAAAAGUAUAAAAGUUUGAUUUAAUCUUAUAAAAACGUUCGUCUGCAGUUAGUGAUAAAGUCAUGUUCAUAUAUUGCUGAGAUCUCACACAGCGGAAUUGAUGUAAUAAUGUUCUUCUCCUUCUGUUUGUAUGAUAAUGUGCCGAAUCACACCAAACAGUGCCGCUCAAGGACCAACCAUUUUAUAGUCAGGGGUGAGGGUCAGCGUGGAUGCUGGGAGCUUGUUAGUAUAUUUUGUUACGGAUUCAAAACACAUCUAUGUUUCUCUGAAGGAGGAGCUCAAUUACUUAGGGAACACCACAGCACAAUAGAGACUGAGACUGAGGCCAAAAUAUUCUGCCAAACAUUUUCUGGAACACAUAUUUAACUCUCUUAACUUCAAAGAUCAUGGAAUGGACGGUUGCUUGUCAUGCAAGAAAUACUAUCAAAAAGAAGUUAAAAGAACACUCGAUUGUUUUAAUGACAGCUUUACGAUAGUAACAUCAAGGAGUCGGUGCUGUUUAACUUGUUUUGAAUAGUACACAUAUCAUUGCUCCAAUAUACUCCCGAUUUAUUUCUCCGUUAAAGAUUAUUCUGUAACGAAAAUGUCUUCUGUUUAUUAUUGGGUUUCAUAGCAUUUCAUUGCUUUACAUUGUAAAUGCUUCGUUUGUUUUUAUUGAAAGUUGAAGUAUAAUGUUAUAAGUGUUCGUGCCAAUGUUUACAAGGGACUGUACAUACAAAGUUUAUUUGCAUAACGUGCAUCCGCAAAGGCUGCAUUGUAUCAACCUUAUUUUCCCCGUGAUAUUAGGAUCAAGUGAUGUGUGGUCAACAUGGUAUUUUGUACAUUCAUAAUAUGUGAUAUAUUUAAAUAUGCUAAUAAGUCCUAAAUAAUUUCACUGUGCCAAUAUACUGAAUCGUCAAUGACCAUGAUCACUACUUGCAUGAUGUGCAUAAAGUUGGUUCUUGUGAAAAGGAAUCCAUCGUUACGAUUUGGCUGAAGAGAAGGUACACAGGUAGUGUUGAAGAAAUGGCUUCGAUCACCGAGUCUCUGCAUUGUACCACUAAUGCAUAAUAUCAUUACAUUUUGUUUAACAAAUACACGUACUGUGAUAGGUGAGGACGAACUGAAUAAAUUGCCAUAUGCCAUGAGAAACUAUUCAGAUAAGAUUUUCUCAAAGGCUGAUCCUAAAUAUUUAACUGUUGUCGGGGUAGGGCUUUUAUUUUUGAAAUUUUACCUUUGACUGGGAGGGGGUUCUGUGUAUCUACUUACACUGUUGGAUGGUGGGUGGUUGGGUUCCACGCGUGUUUAUAAAAGUAGAAGGAAUUCUGAUGGGCGUUUUAGGUCAUUGGGGUACAAAUGGUAUUAACUAAAAGGGAGUUUGAACUCCAUGACCCCCUCCCCGAGACCAGCCCGUUCCUGAUCUUGUUGUCACAGCGUUGCUCCCAUCUGAUGUAUUGUGCACACGUAAACUGAGAGACAUGUAUCCAUCCACCCACGUUGAUUGUACAUGUGAAUGACGUGGAAAACUAUUUUUAUAUUUGAUUAUAGUCUACACCUUUCUCCCCCCCCCCCCCCCCCCCCCCCCCCUAUGACACGCAUGGUGCGCCUCGCGGAAGCAGCAUUGCAGAGAUGCGGUUUCUAAUGCGCCCUCAAAUCAAGAACAAUAACUUCAAUAAUUUUAUUGCUGUUUCUAACAGUUUAUCAUACUUCCUGUACAAGUCUUGACAUGAUUUGUAAUAUUUGUGCUAUUAUUUACUCAUUUAUUUUAUAAAGUAGACAGUAUUUAUUAAUAACAACUUCUUUAAUUACUGUUAAGGCGACUUUUGGGUAUUGAUCCUUAUACUGUUGUCUUAUACCGCUUUACCACAGUGUUAGGAUCUAUACUGAAACGUCUCUUUAACAGUAAUUAAAGGAGUUGUUAUCCAGUAAUUGUGUCUACUUUGUCAUUCGUCAAGUUCUAAGUAAUACCUAUCAAAUAAUUUAUUUUUAUUUUAUUUUUGAAACUCCAUGGAAGUCAUAGUCUCUUAUUGAUAUUAUUUUUGUGAUAUUAAUUAAAUUCGAAAUGAUAUUCGAUCAUGGACUUUUCAAAUUUAUAAAUAAUUCGACCAUGUUUUAGGCUCGUUAAAUGUUUUGUUUACUUGUUUGUGACGUUUUAUCAGCGUAGAGAUAUCCUUCUCAUGCUUUAUCUUCACAAAUAUUUACGAUCUAUAUGUUUGUGUAUAAAUCUAAGUAUUUGUUUGCAUAAUUUGUGCACCACAUUUGCACACACGAAGAUAAUGACUUUCACUGCUGGACGCAUAUAUUAUGUGAUGCUUUCUGUUUUGUAAUUACAAAUACAUAAAAUUAAAAAAGUCAUUGCUA
rnacentral:misc_RNA from 1 species